rnacentral:rRNA from 1 species
UACGUAGGACCCGAGCGUUGUCCGGAUUUACUGGGUGUAAAGGGUGCGUAGGCGGACUUGUGCGUCAGAGGUUAAAGACCCCGGCUUAACCGGGGAAGUGCCUUUGAUACGGCAAGUCUUGAGUGCGAGAGAGGAAGGUAGAAUUCCUGGUGUAGCGGUGAAAUGCGUAGAUAUCAGGAGGAAUACCAGUGGCGAAGGCGGCCUUCUGUCUCGAUACUGACGCUCAGGCACGAAAGCGUGGGGAG